rnacentral:rRNA from 1 species
UCUUUCGAAUGAAAAUGAGUGGAAUAUAUAAAAAUAAGGAGCAUGGCGGUCCUUAAUCUCGUUAGAGGGGCAUGUGACUUUAAUUAAUAACGAAUUUGCACGAACAUCUGUCCUGAUCUUGAAUGGAUUUCAUUUUGUACACCGCUGUCUGAAAGAAAUUAUAAAAGUAUUUUCUCUCUUCUCUUAAAGAAAUAAGGCAAGUUAAGGUGCAGAUGAUGGUCAGGGAGUUAUGUGCUCCAGUAAAAAUUUAUAGGCUCUCAAGUGAAAUGUUGGUAAGAAAGAGAAUUUAAUAGUAAGAUUAGAAAUUUAGCUGAUCUGAAGAGGGGCUAUAAAGGGUGU